rnacentral:rRNA from 1 species
CCUACGGGAGGCAGCAGUAAGGAAUAUUGGACAAUGGUCGCAAGACUGAUCCAGCCAUGCCGCGUGCAGGAUGACAGCCCUAUGGGUCGUAAACUGCUUUUGUGCGAGAAAAAACCCCUCUACGUGUAGAGGGCUGAUUGUAUCGUAAGAAUAAGGAUCGGCUAACUCCGUGCCAGCAGCCGCGGUAAUACGGAGGAUCCAAGCGUUAUCCGGAUUCAUUGGGUUUAAAGGGUGCGUAGGCGGAAUGAUAAGUCAGUGGUGAAAGCCUGCAGCUUAACUGCAGAACUGCCAUUGAUACUGUCAAUCUUGAGUACAUUUGAUGUGGCGGAAUGUGUCAUGUAGCGGUGAAAUGCUUAGAUAUGACACAGAACACCGAUUGCGAAGGCAGCUCACAAAACUGUAACUGACGCUGAGGCACGAAAGCGUGGGUAUCAAACAGGAUUAGAUACCCUGGUAGUCCACGCUGUAAACUAUGAUUACUCGAUGUUUGCGAUACACUGUAAGCGUCUAAGCGAAAGCGAUAAGUAAUCCACCUGGGAGUACGCUCGCAAGAGUGAAACUUAAAUUGAAAUUGACCGGGNGNGAGGACGUGACGACGGACGACGAACGGAGGGGAAGGUAAGG